AGAGUUUGAUCAUGGCUCAGGAUUAACGCUGGCGGCGUGCUAAUGCAUGCAAGUCGUACGGUCUUGGUCUUCGGACCAAGAUAGUGGCAAACGGGUGAGUAACGCGUAAGUAACAUACCCAUAAGUAUGGGAUAACCCUAAGAAAUUAGAGCUAAUACCGUAUGUGGUGAUGAGGUUAAGACCACAUCACUAAAGCCGUAAGGCGCUUGGGGAGGGGCUUGCGUCUGAUUAGCUAGUUGGUAGGGUAAGGGCUUACCAAGGCGAUGAUCGGUAGCUGGUCUGAGAGGGCGAUCAGCCACACUGGGACUGAGACACGGCCCAGACUCCUACGGGAGGCAGCAGCAAGGAAUUUUGCGCAAUGGGCGAAAGCCUGACGCAGCAACGUCGCGUGGGGGAAGAAUGCCUUCGGGUUGUAAACCCCUUUUCUCAGGGAAGAAUAAUGACGGUACCUGAGGAAUAAGUCUCGGCUAACUACGUGCCAGCAGCCGCGGUAAUACGUAGGAGGCAAGCGUUAUCCGGAAUUACUGGGCGUAAAGCGCGCGCGGGCGGCUUUUUAAGUCGGGUGUAAAAUCUUCUCGCUUAACGAGAAGGGAUCGCUCGAUACUGUUGAGCUAGAGAGCAGCAGAGGGGGGUGGAAUUCCCGGUGGAGUGGUGAUAUGCGUAGAUAUCGGGAAGAACACCAGCGGCGAAGGCGGCCUCCUGGGCUGUUUCUGACGCUGAGGCGCGAAAGCGUGGGGAGCGAACAGGAUUAGAUACCCUGGUAGUCCACGCCGUAAACGAUGGACACUAGGUAUAGGGAGUAUCGACCCUCUCUAUGCCGUAGUUAACGCGUUAAGUGUCCCGCCUGGGGACUACGGCCGCAAGGCUAAAACUCAAAUGAAUUGACGG
rnacentral:rRNA from 1 species